GAUCUCAAAUCAAGUAAGACUACCCGCUGAACUUAAG
rnacentral:rRNA from 1 species